GUUUGUCUUUCUGUGCUGAAGGACAUUCAAAAUAAAGACAACCUUCCCUCAAAAAUAUCAAGCUGUGUAAUCCCAGAGGCACAUCUUUCAGGCCAUUCCAGCACCCGCUUUAUCUCCAGUGAUCUCUGACCCCUGUGUGUCAGGAGUUCAAUCUGGCACCAGAGCUCCUGGCUGCCUGUUGACUCCUCGACUUCAUUUAAUGGAAGUGAGCAAAAUAGCAGCUGAAAAUCAAGAUGCCUGAGGAUUUAAAAUAGGAAGAUCAGCAGCACGUCUUGGUGGAGGAAAGGGGUUGUUUGUGUCCAUCCUUUUCAGAUAGCCAGGAUGCUUUGAGGUACAAAGCCUUGGUCACCCUCUUAAGCAGGGGGACCCAUUAAAAACUGCCUGGUCUGCACAGAAGAGCCCUGGAGACGUUGUAAAAGAGGCACCCAAUUUCUCUCCUCUUCCAUGGCCUCCGUCCAAAGGAAGAGACUGCAGAAAGAUGUUGGGGACACCCAGCUGGGGUGCCUUAUCCCCAGGUCCUACAUCUCAGUCUUGGGGCAGUGCUGGGGGGGGGAUCCUCAGCCCAUUCCAAUGAGUGUGAACUAUUCCUUCUUGGGCCACAGAUUUAACCCAGCUUCAUUUCAUCAGAGAGGAAAACCCAAAGCUAAUGCUGAGAGAGAGGCACUCACCCAGGAGCAGCCAUCUACCAAGUGAUACAGGGUGGGGAGACAGAAAUGUUCCUUUUAGCACAGGACAUUCUGUCUGCCUCUGUGGAUCCCAUUUCUAUUGUGAUGGGGACCACAGGGUGAUUUGAUGGGAAUGUGUCUGGCUGCUAGUUUAAUUCCUGGGCUCAGCACAACUGUGUAAACCCACCCAAUAAAACUUUUCCCUU
rnacentral:lncRNA from 7 species